CCUACGGGGGGCAGCAGUGGGGAAUUUUGCGCAAUGGGGGAAACCCUGACGCAGCAACGCCGCGUGAGUGAUGAAGGCUUUAGAGUCGUAAAGCUCUGUCAAGUGGGAAGAAAUUGCAGGAUACUAAUACUGUUCUGUAUUGACGGUACCACUAAAGGAAGCACCGGCUAACUCCGUGCCAGCAGCCGCGGUAAUACGGAGGGUGCAAGCGUUAUUCGGAAUCAUUGGGCGUAAAGGGCGCGUAGGCGGCCUGAUAAGUCAGAUGUGAAAGCCCGGGGCUUAACCCCGGAAGUGCAUUUGAUACUGUUGGGCUUGAGUAUGGGAGAGGGAAGUGGAAUUUCUGGUGUAGAGGUGAAAUUCGUAGAUAUCAGAAGGAACACCGGUGGCGAAGGCGACUUCCUGGACCAAUACUGACGCUGAGGCGCGAAGGCGUGGGUAGCGAACAGGAUUAGAUACCCCGGUAGUC
rnacentral:rRNA from 1 species